rnacentral:rRNA from 1 species
CAUAGGUUAAUGAGGCGAACCGGGGGAACUGAAACAUCUAAGUACCCCGAGGAAAAGAAAUCAACCGAGAUUCCCCCAGUAGCGGCGAGCGAACGGGGAGCAGCCCAGAGCCUGAAUCAGUGUGUGUGUUAGUGGAAGCGUCUGGAAAGGCGCGCGAUACAGGGUGACAGCCCCGUACACAAAAAUGCACAUACUGUGAGCUCGAUGAGUAGGGCGGGACACGUGGUAUCCUGUCUGAAUAUGGGGGGACCAUCCUCCAAGGCUAAAUACUCCUGACUGACCGAUAGUGAACCAGUACCGUGAGGGAAAGGCGAAAAGAACCCCGGCGAGGGGAGUGAAAAAGAACCUGAAACCGUGUACGUACAA